AUGGAAGAGAAACUUCUCCCAUCCUCAAAUACGAAUCUCCUUCCAAAUUCGGGGUACAUCCCAGUCUACCAAAAUACCUCUCUUCUGAUUCCUAUUAGUAACAAGAAGACAAUGAAGCCUCUGAACAUGGUGAAAUUGACCCAUUCUAGGGAAAAAAGGAGAUCAAUCAGCAAACAGUUAUUAAAUGUGGAAUAUGUGCCAGGACAUUAUUCUGAAUAUGACUCCAUGACAAAAGAACACGAAACUCUGGAAUUUGUUGAACCCUCACUAGGUACCACUUGGUGGAAGCUUCAUUUGGAGAAAACGAAAUGGACCUUGUAGUCUGACUCUGAAACCUUCAAACAAUUCUUUAGUGAUUUAGUACAAGAAACAUAUUUCCAUUCUGAAAGAAGAAUGAGUUGGCAAUUUGUGCUUAUUUGUUUGAAUGAAGUAUGUUAGGGAUAAUCAUUAUUGCUACCUUUUUCAUUGCAGUUUCCAAAUCUGAACAUAGUCCAGUAAUUCUAGAAUACCUUACGAGUGAACAAGUUGAGAAGUAUUACAAAAACUCAUGUCUAAGGCUUAGUUUGGUAAAAUAAUUAUGGAAUUAUAAUUUGAGUCUUGUUCACCCACUUACCAUCUGCUGCCCUGAGGCUGCAUUCUAAGCAGUUGAGUUGAAAGAUGAAAAAUAUGAACCCUUCCUAGAAGAAUCAUAUUGACUAGAAACAGCAUGGGCUGUUAUGCCAUGAUCUUCAAGGCCAAAUCUAUAUUCAUGACUCGGUAGUUCUCCCUGCGAGCCUUCCUAAUUGAGGGGACAUAGGUGAGGACAAACUUCUCCAGAAUAAAGGAUCUUUUCUCUCCUACUUCUCCCCCCA
rnacentral:lncRNA from 1 species